rnacentral:rRNA from 1 species
UAUGUGAUCGUCUCUCGCAUAUCAAUAAGCGGAGGAAAAGAAACUAACAAGGAUUCCCCUAGUAACGGCGAGUGAAGCGGGAAGAGCUCAAAUUUGAAAUCUUAAAGGGUUUCCCUCUACGAAUUGUAGUUUAAAGAAGUGUUUUCUGUUGAGGUUUUGGUAAAAGUUCUUUGGAAUAGGACAUCAUAGAGGGUGAGAAUCCCGUAUUUGACCUUUACUUUCAACUUUGUGAUACACUUUCAAAGAGAUCGGAUUGUUUGGGAAUGCAGGUCCAAAAUGGGUGGUAAAUUUCAUCUAAAGCUAAAUAUUGGCGAGAGACCGAUAGCGAACAAGUACCGUGAGGGAAAGAUGAAAAGAACUUUGAAAAGAGAGUUAAACAGUACGUGAAAUUGUCAAAAGGGAAGCGUUUGACACCAGUGUUGUUUUUCUGAAAAUCAAUUAAAGAACUGUUUAUGCUAAGCUGUUUAGACUUUAUCAGCUAACUGUUUAGUUUUGAGCUUUUCUUUAAUGCACUUUUCAGUUAACAAGUCAACAUCAAUUUCUUUUGCUGUAAAAAAGCUUGAGGAAGGUGGCUUGAGAUUCGUCUUAAGUGUUUAUAGCCUCUUGCCUAUGCAGUCGGAGAGAUUGAGGUCUGCAGCGUAGAUCCUUCGGGGCUAAAUGCAUUUGUGCUAAGUUAUAACAUUUUAUAGACAACUUGUUGACUAUGAUUUGUCUUGUAGCUUACUCGCUUAUGUUAUUUUACCUACGCUUAGGAUGUUGAGUAGCGACAUACGCAC